rfam:Hordeum vulgare subsp. vulgare, WGS project CAJW01000000 data, contig: morex_contig_170083
UAACUACUCCCUCCGUCCGAGAAAAUUUGUCUUAGAUUUGUCUAGAUAUGAAUGUAUCUAAACACACUUUAGUAUUUAGAUACAUUCAUUUCUAGACAAACCUAAGACAAGGAUUUUGGGACGGAGGGAGUAGUUA